GUUUAAACCUGUUCCUUCUUGUCAAGCCACAACUGCACAGCUUUGUAAGCACCGAGGGGAAAGAAAAACUGAAUCUUUAAAGCUUCUCUUCUCAUUUCUGAACAGGCAGAAGAAGCACCAUAAAAAUGGAGAGCCACGAUCUCGCAGUCACAAUUAAUCACUGCGCAUAUCAGCUACGUCAAGUUGGAGAUGGACUUCACUGGAGAUACAAACUGCUGGAAAUACUGAUCAAGAACUACACGACUGUUUCUAAAAUCAAGUGAGACAUGUUCAUCAAAGUACAUGAAAGAGGAAUUGGAUUUUGCUAAACUGGAUGGCAUUCAGAGCAAAAGUUGAAGAGUCUUGGAUACGGACUCAUCACUGGAGGCUAAAUGGGGGCUGUCAAGUGGGAUGUAAGCUCCUGGAAACACCCUGAUGGAGACAUGGACACAUGUUUAAAAAAAAAAAGGGAUGCUGUUGAUCCAGCGAUUCAGAGCCAUGGGUGACUGGAACCAAAGUGGACUAUCUGAAUGGAAGUUAUUUGCUGAAAGAUGCUGAUUAUUAUCACGUGUAUAGGCUACAUACUUCUGUAUACAUGGACAUGUAUGAAUGUUAUGCCAACUGAAGAAUUGAGAUGUAGUUACUUAUUGACUCAAGACUUCUUUUUAAAUGGGAGGAAUUUAAUGAGUUGCUUAUUAAAGAUUCAUUUUCAAUAAGUUUAGAAUUUGGUUGUGUUUUAUAGUGGUGAAUGCCAGUGAAUAUAAGACAAUUUAAAGGAAUAGUUUUGCGUUUUUUUGGAAAUAUGCUUAUUUGCUUUCCGGCUGUGAGUUAGAUGGGAAAAUACCAGUGAAUACACAUUUUCCCUAAAAUGUCAAACAAAUCUUUUAAUCUAGCAAAACUCAGGAAAAAAUCCAAGGCACUCUCACUUGAGAAAUCAAAAAGCCUUUAUUGUUAUGGCUUAGUGAUCUUAAACCUUUAAGGGAGUCAAUCCCGUUGACUCCCUGACGAAGGCUUGUGUGCCAAAACACGUCAGAGUUGUUUUUAAAGGUUUAAGAUGACUAGGCCAUAACAAUUCAUUUUUCCAGUGAGAGUAAUUUGGAUUUUGCCUGAGGUUUGCUAUAUAUUAUUGUCCCAUCCAAAGAGCACCUCAAACAAACAAGUUGAGUCCUGGAAGCUCUCCUCUACAGACAUUUUUAUUCCUUUAAUCUGUUGAUUAUUUCUCCAACUAAUCCUUUAGUGAUAAAUAGUCAUCAUAACUUCCCAAAUCCGAAGGUAACGUCUUUUCCGAUUAACAGUCAAAAGCCUAAACAUAUUCAGUUUACAGUGAUAUAAAAAGCAGUAAAUUCUUAUAUAAAAUAAACAUAAGGAUGCAACUUUUGCUUAAUAAAUGACUUACACAAUUAAACAAUUAUCAAAAUCGUUACUUUUCUGUCAAUUGGCUAAUCCAUCAUUUCAGCACUAGAUGAAUCUGAUAAAGCUGAAUCAGACUAAGCACCUUACAUUAUUUGUAAAACUGUGUAUGAUCUUUAAUGGGACUAUUUAACAGAUGGAAUGGGAGAAAACUAAAUCAAACAGAUAUGAAUAAAAACAACAGCAAAACAGUGCUAAAUUCAGGCACUUAAAGGAUCCUUACUUUAUUUUGUGUGGUAAUACAAAAGCAUACAGAAUUAUAGAGGAUAGGAGAGAAGAUCCCUUUCAUUAAAUUCCAUUAGAUCAUACACGUAAAAUGACUAAUUACAUACAAGCCUUUUCUCUUUAGCUACAUCCACAAGUAUCCCAGCCCUCCACCAAUAGCAUGCAUGGUCUCUUUGCUCUAAACAAAAACAGUUCUUCAUACCUAUUGGUAUUUUGUUGGUAAAAAAAAGAAGAAGACAGAACUAGAAGUAUGCCAUGAAACAAUAGGUGAUGUAACUUCACACACUGAUCACACUCAGACGUUAGAAUGUCUACAGUCGUCCAUUUGUAUUGAAAUAGAAGCGUUCCCAGAUCUGCACUGAAGCAUCACUGGAGACAGAUUUUAUUCCAAUAGAUGGAAUGUUGUUUUUUGAAUGUUUUUGUUUCAGUUGUUGUUUCAGUCUUCAGACGACUCAUCUGGGGUCCAAGUAAAAUACCCAUCAUCUGCAUGUAGGACAAAAAUAUAACAUGCCCCGCACGGGCCUAUCAGACAGAAAUACACCUAAUUAUGACAUGACAUACAAACAAAGGUACAAUGUAUGAUUAGAACUUUAAAAAAUAAAGUCGGUUCCCCUAAAUUACAUAACACAUUGUCUCAUUACUUCUGUUGGUAUGUAGUGAAUCCUCAGGUCAUGCGGUUAUCAGAUUUCAUAGAGGCGAUCUCUUGAGUGUAAAGUAGUUCUAAGAAACACUGUUUACAGUCAAGAUUAUAGAUUAGUGGUAAACUCCAGAAAAAGAUGUUGCUUCUGAAUUUGUACGGCUGAUGAGCAUCUUAAAAGGAAAUGCCAUUUACCCAUUACUGUAUUAAGAUAGGGGCAAAUAUCUCUGGGACAUUUCAAAACCUAAAUAAAACCAAAACUACCUCCAUGACCCGACACCACUAAUGUUAAGUGAGAAU